CCCUGGUAUUCCAGGUUAACUGAUGAUCUAGUGAAGAGUUCGCCCCUUCUCGCCGGGCUUACCCAUAGUUUCCCCCCCUUGGGAGUACGACCGCAAGGUUGAAACUCAAGGAAUGACGGGGCCCCGCACAAGCAGUGGAGUAUGUGUUUAAUUCGAAGCAACGCGAAGAACCUUACCAGGGCUGACAUCUCUUUGAAUAUAUAGAGAUAAUAUAGUUUUCGGAACAGAGAGACAGGUGGUGCAUGGUUGUCGUCAGCUCGUGUCGUGAGAUGUUGGGUUAAGUGCCAUAACGAGCGCAACCCUUUUCAUUAGUUGCCAUCAGGUAAUGCUGGGCACUCUGGUGAUACUGCCACCGUAAGGUGUGAGGAAGGUGGGGAUGACGUCAAAUCAGCACGGCCCUUACGUCCGGGGCUACACACGUGUUACAAUGGGGCAUACAGAGGGUCGGUGGACUGCAAAUUCCAUCAAAUCUUAAAAGUGCUCCUCAGUUCGGAUUGGGGUCUGCAACCCGACCCCAUGAAGCUGGAUUCGCUAGUAAUCGCGCAUCAGCCAUGGCGCGGUGAAUACGUUCCCGGGCCUUGUACACACCGCCCGUCAAGCCAUGAAAGCCGGGGGCGCCUGAAGUCCGUGACCGCGAGGGUCGGCCUAGGGUGAAACCGGUGAUUGGGGCUAAGUCGUAACAAGUAGCCUAAUCUAGAGCAACUGCG
rnacentral:rRNA from 1 species